GGCUCAAUGGUCUAGUGGUAUGAUUUCCGCUUAGGGUGCGGAAGACCCCGAGUUCGAUUCUCGGUUGAGCCC